rnacentral:tRNA from 1 species
CCCAAGUAAGUUAAUCUAAACUAUAGGUCUGUGGAACCUAAAAUCGAUCUUAUCGCUGGGCU